rnacentral:rRNA from 1 species
CCUACGGGAGGCAGCAGUGAGGAAUAUUGGUCAAUGGGCGGGAGCCUGAACCAGCCAAGUCGCGUGAGGGACGACGGUCCUAUGGAUUGUAAACCUCUUUUGUCGGGGAACAAAGGCGCCCACGGGUGGGCGGAUGAGUGUACCCGAAGAAAAAGCAUCGGCUAACUCCGUGCCAGCAGCCGCGGUAAUACGGAGGAUGCGAGCGGUAUCCGGAUUUAUUGGGGUUAAAGGGUGCGUAGGCGGACAGUCAAGUCAGGGGUAAAAAUGCGGUGCUCAACGCCGUACAGCCGUUGAAACUGGCAGUCUGGAGUGGGCGAGAAGUAUGCGGAAUGCGUGGUGUAGCGGUGAAAUGCAUAGAUAUCACGCAGAACUCCGAUUGCGAAGGCAGCAGACCGGCGCCCGACUGACGCUGAGGCACGAAAGCGUGGGUAUCGAACAGGAUUAGAUACCCCGGUAGUC